GGGGGAUAAGCUCCGUCGUCGAAAGGGAAACAGCCCAGAUCGUCGUCUAAGGUCCCCAAGCGUGUGCUAAGUGGGAAAGGAUGUGGAGUCGCAUAGACAGCCAGGAGGUUGGCUCAGAAGCAGCCACCCUUGAAAGAGUGCGUAACAGCUCACUGGUCUAGUGGUUCCGCGCCGACAAUGUAGCGGGGCUCAAGCACACCACCGAAGACGCGGCAGUAGCUUUGCUACUGGGUAGGAGAGCGUCCCAUGCGGGGCGAAGCGGCGGCGCAAGCCCGCCGUGGACCGCAUGGGAGUGAGAAUGCAGACAUGAGUAGCGAAAGACGGGUGAAGAUCCCGUCCGCUGGACGACCAAGGGUUCCAGGGCCACGUUCAUCGUCCCUGGGUGAGUCGGGUCCUAAGGCGAGGCCGACAGGCGUAGUCGAAUGGAUGAACGGGUCGAUAUUCCCGUACCGGCAUGCAACCGACAAAACCGAAUCCGCGAGUACUAACCUCCGGGUCCGGGCUUACGUCUCCUUCGGGAGCCGGAUGCCCUGGCCUGUUGGGACCGUAACGGUAGUAGGUCAGCGCGGGAGUGACGCAGAAGGGUAGCCGGCCGCGGAGGUGGUCUUCCGUGGUCAAGCACGCAGCCCGUCCCACAGGCAAAUCCGUGGGGCGCGUGGGCGAGGUGCGAUGAUGGGCGCCGCAGGGCGCGAUAUCCGGUGAUCCCGGCUGCCGAGAAAAGCUUCGGCGUGAGGCGGCGUGCCGCCCGUACCCCAAACCGACACUGGUGGUCAGGUAGAGAAUACCAAAGCGAUCGAGCGAAUCCUGGUCAAGGAACUCGGCAAAUCACUCCCGUUCCUUCGGUUUAAGGGAGACCCCCGAUGGUGAAGCGGCUUGCCCGUGGAGCUUUUGGGGGUGGCACAGACCAGGGGGUAGCGACUGUUUACCAAAAACACAGGAGCGUGCGAAGGCGCAAGCCGCUGUAUACGCUCUGACGCCUGCCCGGUGCCGGAAGGUUAAGAGGAUCCGUCAGGCUUCGGCCGAAGCGGUGAAUUCAAGCCCCGGUAAACGGCGGUGGUAACUAUAACCAUCCUAAGGUAGCGAAAUUCCUUGUCGGGUAAGUUCCGACCUGCACGAAUGGCGUAACGACUUCCCCACUGUCUCGACCAGGAGCUCGGCGAAAUUGCAGUACGAGUAAAGAUGCUCGUUAAGCGCAGAAGGACGAAAAGACCCCGGGACCUUUACUAUACCUUGGUAUUGGCAUUCGGUGUGGAUUGUGUAGCAUAGGCGGAAGGCUUCGAAGCCACGGCGCCAGCCGCGGUGGAGCCGCAAGGUGAAAUACCGCUCUGUUCGCAUUGGAUGUCUAACCUCGACCAGUCAUCCUGGUCAGGGACAGUGCCUGGCGGGUAGUUUAACUGGGGCGGUUGCCUCCCAAAGAGUAACGGAGGCGCUCAAAGGUUCCCUCAGCCCGGUUGGCAAUCGGGUGGCGAGUGUAAGUGCACAAGGGAGCUUGACUGCGAGACUGACGGGUCGAGCAGGGACGAAAGUCGGAACUAGUGAUCCGGUGCCGGUGUACGGACGCGGCAUCGCUCAACGGAUAAAAGGUACCCCGGGGAUAACAGGCUGAUCAUUCCCAAGAGUCCAUAUCGACGGGAUGG
rnacentral:rRNA from 1 species